GAGUUUGAUCCUGGCUCAGGACGAACGCUGGCGGCGUGCUUAACACAUGCAAGUCGAACGGAAAGGCCCCGCUCGCGGGGUACUCGAGUGGCGAACGGGUGAGUAACACGUGGGUGAUCUGCCCUGCACUUCGGGAUAAGCCUGGGAAACUGGGUCUAAUACCGGAUAUGACCUCCCUUUAGUGUGGGGGGUGGAAAGAUUUAUCGGUGCAGGAUGAGCCCGCGGCCUAUCAGCUUGUUGGUGGGGUAAUGGCCUACCAAGGCGUCGACGGGUAGCCGGCCUGAGAGGGUGGACGGCCACAUUGGGACUGAGAUACGGCCCAGACUCCUACGGGAGGCAGCAGUGGGGAAUAUUGCACAAUGGGCGGAAGCCUGAUGCAGCGACGCCGCGUGGGGGAUGACGGCCUUCGGGUUGUAAACCUCUUUCGACAGGGACGAAGUGAAAAUGACGGUACCUGUAUAAGAAGCACCGGCUAACUACGUGCCAGCAGCCGCGGUAAUACGUAGGGUGCGAGCGUUGUCCGGAAUUACUGGGCGUAAAGAGCUCGUAGGUGGUUUGUCACGUCGUCUGUGAAAUUCCGGGGCUUAACCUCGGGCGUGCAGGCGAUACGGGCAAUACUUGAGUGCUGUAGGGGAGACUGGAAUUCCUGGUGUAGCGGUGACAUGCGCAGAUAUCAGGAGGAACACAAUGGCGAAGGCAGGUCUCUGGGCAGUUACUGACGCUGAGGAGCGAAAGCAUGGGUAGCGAACAGGAUUAGAUACCCUGGUAGUCCAUGCCGUAAACGGUGGGCGCUAGGUGUAGGGGACUUCCACGUUCUCUGUGCCGUAGCUAACGCAUUAAGCGCCCCGCCUGGGGAGUACGGCCGCAAGGCUAAAACUCAAAGGAAUUGACGGGGGCCCGCACAAGCGGCGGAGCAUGUGGAUUAAUUCGAUGCAACGCGAAGAACCUUACCUGGGCUUGACAUACACCGGACCGGCGUAGAGAUACGUCUUCCCUUGUGGCCGGUGUACAGGUGGUGCAUGGUUAUCGUCAGCUCGUGUCGUGAGAUGUUGGGUUAAGUCCCGCAACGAGCGCAACCCUUGUCUUAUGUUGCCAGCACGUGAUGGUGGGGACUCAUGAGAGACUGCCGGGGUCAACUCGGAGGAAGGUGGGGAUGACGUCAAAUCAUCAUGCCCCUUAUGUCCAGGGCUUCACACAUGCUACAAUGGUCGGUACAGCAGGUCGCGAACUCGUGAGAGUAAGCCAAUCCCUCAAAGCCGGCCUCAGUUCGGAUUGGGGUCUGCAACUCGACCCCAUGAAGUCGGAGUCGCUAGUAAUCGCAGAUCAGCAACGCUGCGGUGAAUACGUUC
rnacentral:rRNA from 1 species